rnacentral:lncRNA from 1 species
UUAAUUCUUGGCAUAGGUAAUCUCCAUGGCUUGGGACAGUGUGAUCUUAAACCCCUGCAGAGCAUCUCUGACAGCUCCAGCCUGUCCAUCAUUCUCAAAUUCUACAAAUGCAAUGUCAUGUCUCCCUGGUACCAAGUGAACUUCCUUGAAACCAGGGAACUGCUUUAACAGCAUGGAUAACAUCAUCUCAUUCGUCCACUCUGGCAAGUCCUUAAGGAAUAGGCUAUAGUUUGGAGGAUAAUCAGGGACCUGAGGAUUUGACGCUGCAUUUCCUUGGGUAUUAGCUGAAUUUGGUAUUCCCUGACCAGGCUUCUUGUUUGCAGCUGCUACAGCCUAUUGCAUGGUUUUAGCUUUCUUCUUUUCCUUUUUCUUUUCCUUGUCAUUGAAAGUACCACAAAUAUUGCAUCAGACUCUGUUUUUGCGUACUGAAUUCUCAUUGGUUUACCAUAAAAUGGAAAUCCUUGUAAUUGUCUCAAAGAUUUGUGGAGGAACCCAGUUCCUUAAAUAUAACAAAAGCCUGUCCCCCUCAUCUUCAUGGGUUUUAAAGCCACAAUUUACCAAGUGUCCAAACUGAAAAAAACAGGGCAUACAGGGAUCUCUUCAAUUCUUUUUUAAUUUUGUCACUCAUGUUCUAGAUAUAAAUCAUGUGAUUUGGUCUGAUAUCCAU